rnacentral:rRNA from 1 species
AACGAACGCUGGCGGUAUGCUUAAUCCAUGCAAGUCGAACGGAAAUAUUUCGAAGCUUGCUUUGAAAUAUUUAGUGGCAAACGGGUGAGUAACACGUGGGAAUCUACCUAUCAGUACGGAAUAACUUUCGGAAACGAAUGCUAAUACCGUAUAUUCUCUAAGGAGGAAAGAUUUAUCGCUGAUAGAUGAGCCCGCGCAAGAUUAGGUAGUUGGUAGGGUAAAGGCCUACCAAGCCUACGAUCUUUAGCUGGUCUGAGAGGAUGAUCAGCCACACUGGGACUGAGACACGGCCCAGACUCCUACGGGGGGCAGCAGGAAGGAAUAUUGGACAAUGGGCGAAAGCCUGAUCCAGCAAUACCGCGUGAAUGAUGAAGGCCUUAGGGUUGUAAAGUUCUUUUAGUAGGGAAGAUAAUGACGGUACCUACAGAAAAAGCCCCGGCUAACUCCGUG